CGCACACGCUCUCCUCCAUUUCUCACUUUCCCCAUUUGUUCGCCGGAGCGCCCGCCGCCGCCGCUGCCGGAGCGCCGCCGAUGGCCAGCGGGGCGGACCGCAUCAGCGGCCUCCCGGAGGGCGUCCUCCACCACAUCCUCUCCCUCCUUCCGGCGCAGGACGCGGUGCGCACGUGCGUGCUCGCGCAGAGCUGGCGCCACCACUGGCGGUCCGCGCCCGCCCUGCGCCUCGCCGGCUGCGCCGGCUGGGCCGGCGGCGCCUACACCUUCGGCCCCUUCGUCGACGCCCUGCUGCACGUCCGCCGCGGGGGCGCACCCCUGGACUCCAUCGACUUCGACCUCGACGUCGAUCUGGAUCUGGGCUGCUACGACGUCCCCAAGAUGGAGCGCCACGUCAACGGCUGGCUCCGCCGCGCGCUGCGGCGCCAGGUCCGGGACCUCCGGUUCCGGGUCUCCGUCGCGCCCCGGCUCACCUGUGCGCUGGAGGACCGGCCCCUCGCCUCCGAGCACCUCACCAGGCUGGAGCUCGUCGGCGUCAAGGGCAACGCCGGCGUCCUCGAUUUCUCCUGCUGCCCCGCGCUGGAGGAGCUCAGGAUGGAGGACUGCGAUGUCGGCUCGACGGAGAUGCUCUCCCCGUCCUUGAAACGCCUGAGGAUCAGAUACUGCAUCUUCUACUGCAACUUCCGCUCCGGGAUGUCGUUCCCGAGCCUCGUCUCGUUCGAGUUCGUUACCAACGCUGGAAGGGUUCCGAUGCUUGACAGCAUGCCGUGCUUGGAAACCGCGACGGUUCGGUUCGAUUACUUGUACGAUGAUCGAUGCCGCAAUGGUCGCCUGGAUGAUUGUGGAGAUGCUUCCUGUUAUGGUUGUUAUUACUACCAUGCUCCUGAUGAUUACGACUGCGUGUUUCUUGAAGGCUUGACGGAAGUUACAGACUUGACAUUGUCAGCUUAUCCUGAUCUGUAUGUCUUCAACAGGGAUUUGGAGUUGUGCCCUGCAUUUAGCAAGUUAAAGACUUUGGUUCUUAGCAAAUGGUUUGUGCCUGAUGAGCUUAGUGCACUAACUUGGUUCCUCCACAAUGCACCUCUUCUGGAGAAACUUACUCUAAAACCUUCAAAGGUACGGAGCAAAUUAAUGAAAAGAGUGCGAAGAUACAAGCCACUGGAACAAUCCAUUGCAGCUAGCCAUCUUCAGAUUGUUGAAAUCAUAUGUGAAGAUGUCAAUGAGAUAUUACUCAAAAUUUUGAAGGUCUUGAAAGCCAAUGGCAUACCACAAGAGAAAAUCAGAAUCCAAUGUUCAGCCUGCUAUAAUUUUGUGAGUACUGAAGUCGAAAUGGAGUGAGAAGUACUGGGAUCCUGAUGGCCCUAAUAGAUUAUCUUAAGUACCACUGAAUGAAACCGAUGCUACUGUUAAGUCUGGCACCUCCCUUAUUUCCUCCCUUGGGCAUUGACAUUGGUCUGCUGCAGCCAGAUACAGAGACUGGCAACAAGAUGUACAAUGGCGGUUUCAUGCCAACUCCCCACAGUUGUCAUAAAACCACCACCACCCACCACUGAUCAGAUAGACUUCUUUUCUGCUCUGCUUCAACUGGUGACAACCUCACCACCAUCUUCACUUGGGGAACAGUUCUUAGGAGAAAAAGGAGAGGUUAUGGCUGAAGAGUCCUGAAGUUGGUUCUGUGUCCUGGUAUUAAGGAUGAAUCUCUACUAAGGGCACCAACGCUGAAGCUCAUCAAGAGAGGAAGAAUGUGGAGUGAUUUUGAUGACUGGAGAGUGUUGGGGAAGCAAGGGAUGUGGAUUUGGAUCUUGAUGACAGUAGCUGCCACUGCCACUGCUCAAGGGUGGGCUUAGGGAGCCACUAGAGAUCUUGAUGAUCUCGACGAACCCGGCUGGCAUGGGUGGCCUUGUGUGCUCGUCCCCGCUCACGAACUUGUGGGUGUGGUUGACGCAGUACACAGUGAGCUGCUGGAGAUGCAGGUGAUCUGAGCAACAAGUUGAUGGAGUGGCCAACUUCGUCGAGAAUUCGAGUAGAUGGCGGAGCCACUAGCUCCUUAAUUGGUGCUCCAUCGGCCUAAAGAUAUAGUAGUUUCAUCGCAUUUCCAGGAUUAGGAGUUUAUUAGGAAACAUGAUUGUGUCUACUUAGCAGAGAGCUACUAACUGCUGGCUGCUUAUGCACUCAUUAGCCCUCAGUCUGGGAUAACACAGGACCUUAUCUAAUUUUAUCAGCAUUUAGUGUGAUUGAACUUUUCCAAUGAUUAUUUUUUUGCACAAGUACUGUAUUUAUGUUAUAUUGUCAAGCCACAGAUAUCAAUGCUAAAGAGAUGUACAAAUAGACCCAUCUGAAAAAUAAAAAUAAAAACACAAGAGACA